GACGAACCGUGCGAACGUUGUUCGGAAUCACUGGGCUUAAAGGGCGCGUAGGCGGGCAAGCAAGUCCGGGGUGAAAGCCCCCAGCUCAACUGGGGAAGUGCCUUGGAAACUGCUUGUCUAGAGGGAGGUAGGGCAUGUGGAACUUCGGGUGGAGCGGUGAAAUGCGUUGAUAUCCGAAGGAACGCCGGUGGCGAAAGCGGCAUCCUGGACCGAGAUUGACGCUGAUGCGCGAAAGCCAGGGGAGCAAAACGGGG
rnacentral:rRNA from 1 species